AAAACACUGACCUGGGGGACUCAGAUGCAGAGUUAUGCCUAAUUAACGUACAUUGAUGCCAACUCCUGCAAGUCAGAUAUCAGUCUCAUAGCAUGUGCAGGUUCAGUAAUGUGGCUCUGCAGUGGACCACCUGCUCUUACUCAAAAUCUUGCAGUGCUGACAGAGCCAAGAGAGAUGGUGCUCUAAGGAUCAGGAGGAAUGGGCAGUGUCCCUUAGCAGAGUGUGACACAGAUCAUCAUUGGCUUCUUUGUGUGCCACUGUGGCUUUCUCCUUGGUUUUCUCUCUUGCAUGCUUAGCUGUGACUGCAAGCACCUGCUUCUGAUUUCUUGUUCCUGUUAUAAUUUGAUUUCUGCUAUAAACCUCUCUUGCUUCUGAUCACAUUUCUACACAAAUUCUUUGCCUGGGAAAACUCUUGAACUUCUCUGUCCCAUGACUGUGAAUCCCUGUCUCCAAUUCUGCUUUUAGCCUUAUCACCAUGGGGACUAGUCAUACAGGUUUCUAGCAUGAUGAACCUGAUAUAAACAGGUUGUGGUGUACAAUUUUAAACCAGGAGAAGAAACCAGAUCAACAACAGCAACAACAAAAAAAGAAAACACAAAAAAACAACAAACAAACAAACAAAAAAAAAAAAACAAAGGAAAAAACCCAAGAUAUUUCAGUUCCAGAAAUAUACUAUAUACUAGCAAUUGAAUUAUUUUAUGCUUGUAAACACAGAAUUCCUGAAAUUUUAAAUUGUAACAAAAGCCCUCAUGAACUAUUACUAUGUAGUGGUUGAUACAGAACUUAAAAUAAGGUAUCAUUAGGCCCUUUCUAAGAUCAAUCCAGUUUCCAUGGCAAAUAUGUGUAUUAUUUUCUUAAGGAUUGUAUUUAUAGAACAGAUGGUCUAUCUACAUAGCAUAGAAUCUGACCUGGGUAAACUCUGCUCUCACAUAUGGUUUUUCUGGGGCCUUGUUGAUGUAAUCAUCAGGGCUUUCUGCAUGUGUAUGUUUUCAAAGUGUCUGAGAAACAGCAAAAGAUG